GUCUUCUAACAAACAAGAGUGUGAAAUCUGAGCGUCAAGAUGUUAAUCCAUGAUAAGUUACAAACUUGUUUCAGCCGUUCUGUGCUGUGCCAUUCUUAACUGGUUUUUGCACCAGCAACAAUGAAGAGAGUUUCACGAGUAUGACUUACGGUUCUCAUGCAAUGGCCUCUAUCUUAUUGAUAAUGAAAUAAGUUGUUAAAGGUCUGUAGGUUGCUGCAUGUCAGUUUUGAGAGAAAUUGGAUUUGGAAUUGAGAGGGCCCCAAAUAUAAAUACACUUACAUACUUUGUUACAUAGACUGGUUGUGUAACGACUAGUGAGUCUGUAAGCUUUAAACCCCAAUUCUUGAAAGUAAGUGACAUUUGACAA